rnacentral:rRNA from 1 species
CCAAUAGCGUAUAUUAAAGUUGUUGCAGUUAAAAAGCUCGUAGUUGAAUUUCGGGAUCAAUGUUUCGGUCAUGCCGUUGGUAUGUACUGAUAUUAUUGGUUUCUCACCUUCUAAAGAACCGUAAUGCCAUUAAUUUGGUGUCACGGGGAAUUAGGACUGUUACAUUGAAAAAAUUAGAGCGUUUAAAGCAGGAUCACACUUGAAUACAUUAGCAUGGAAUAAUGAAAUAGGACAUCCGAUUCUAUUAUGUUGGUUUCUAGGAUCGAUGUAAUGAUUAAUAGGGAUAGUUAGAGGCAUUAGUAUUCAAUUGUCAGAGGUGAAAUUCUUGGAUUUAUUGAAGACUAACUACUGCGAAAGCAUUUGCCAAGGAUGUUUUCAUUAAUCAAGAACGAAAGUUAGGGGAUCGAAGACGAUCAGAUACCGUCGUAGUCUUAACCAUAAACUAUGCCAACUAGGGAUCGGAUGAUGUUAAUUUUUUAAUGGCUCAUUCGGCGCCUUACG